rnacentral:rRNA from 1 species
CGAAGGGAAACCGAGUCUUAAUUGGGCGUUAAGUUGCAGGGUAUAGACCCGAAACCCGGUGAUCUAGCCAUGGGCAGGUUGAAGGUUGGGUAACACUAACUGGAGGACCGAACCGACUAAUGUUGAAAAAUUAGCGGAUGACCUGUGGCUGGGGGUGAAAGGCCAAUCAAACCGGGAGAUAGCUGGUUCUCCCCGAAAGCUAUUUAGGUAGCGCCUCGUGAACUCAUCUCCGGGGGUAGAGCACUGUUUCGGCUAGGGGGCCAUCCCGGCUUACCAACCCGAUGCAAACUGCGAAUACCGGAGAAUGUUAUCACGGGAGACACACGGCGGGUGCUAACGUCCGUCGUGAAGAGGGAAACAACCCAGACCGCCAGCUAAGGUCCCAAAGUCAUGGUUAAGUGGGAAACGAUGUGGGAAGGCCCAGACAGCCAGGAUGUUGGCUUAGAAGCAGCCAUCAUUUAAAGAAAGCGUAAUAGCUCACUGGUCGAGUCGGCCUGCGCGGAAGAUGUAACGGGGCUAAACCAUGCACCGAAGCUGCGGCAGCGACACUAUGUGUUGUUGGGUAGGGGAGCGUUCUGUAAGCCUGCGAAGGUGUGCUGUGAGGCAUGCUGGAGGUAUCAGAAGUGCGAAUGCUGACAUAAGUAACGAUAAAGCGGGUGAAAAGCCCGCUCGCCGGAAGACCAAGGGUUCCUGUCCAACGUUAAUCGGGGCAGGGUGAGUCGACCCCUAAGGCGAGGCCGAAAGGCGUAGUCGAUGGGAAACAGGUUAAUAUUCCUGUACUUGGUGUUACUGCGAAGGGGGGACGGAGAAGGCUAUGUCGGCCGGGCGACGGUUGUCCCGGUUUAAGCGUGUAGGCUGACUUUCCAGGCAAAUCCGGAAGGUUAAGGCUGAGGCGUGAUGACGAGGCACCACGGUGCUGAAGUGACAAAUGCCCUGCUUCCAGGAAAAGCCUCUAAGCAUCAGGUAACAUCAAAUCGUACCCCAAACCGACACAGGUGGUCAGGUAGAGAAUACCAAGGCGCUUGAGAGAACUCGGGUGAAGGAACUAGGCAAAAUGGUGCCGUAACUUCGGGAGAAGGCACGCUGACAUGUAGGUGAAGCCCCUGCGGGUGGAGCUGAAGUCAGUCGAAGAUACCAGCUGGCUGCAACUGUUUAUUAAAAACACAGCACUGUGCAAACACGAAAGUGGACGUAUACGGUGUGACGCCUGCCCGGUGCCGGAAGGUUAAUUGAUGGGGUUAUCGCAAGAGAAGCUCCUGAUCGAAGCCCCGGUAAACGGCGGCCGUAACUAUAACGGUCCUAAGGUAGCGAAAUUCCUUGUCGGGUAAGUUCCGACCUGCACGAAUGGCGUAAUGAUGGCCAGGCUGUCUCCACCCGAGACUCAGUGAAAUUGAACUCGCUGUGAAGAUGCAGUGUACCCGCGGCAAGACGGAAAGACCCCGUGAACCUUUACUACAGCUUGACACUGAACAUUGAGCCUUGAUGUGUAGGAUAGGUGGGAGGCUUUGAAGCGUGGACGCCAGUCUGCGUGGAGCCGACCUUGAAAUACCACCCUUUAAUGUUUGAUGUUCUAACCUGGCGCCGUGAUCCGGCGUGGGGACAGUGUCUGGUGGGUAGUUUGACUGGGGCGGUCUCCUCCCAAAGUGUAACGGAGGAGCACGAAGGUCAGCUAAUCCUGGUCGGACAUCAGGAGGUUAGUGCAAUGGCAUAAGCUGGCUUGACUGCGAGAGUGACGGCUCGAGCAGGUGCGAAAGCAGGUCAUAGUGAUCCGGUGGUUCUGUAUGGAAGGGCCAUCGCUCAACGGAUAAAAGGUACUCCGGGGAUAACAGGCUGAUACCGCCCAAGAGUUCAUAUCGACGGCGGUGUUUGGCACCUCGAUGUCGGCUCAUCACAUCCUGGGGCUGAAGUAGGUCCCAAGGGUAUGGCUGUUCGCCAUUUAAAGUGGUACGCGAGCUGGGUUUAGAACGUCGUGAGACAGUUCGGUCCCUAUCUGCCGUGGGCGCUGGAGAAUUGAGGGGGGCUGCUCCCAGUACGAGAGGACCGGAGUGGACGCAUCACUGGUGUUCGGGUUGUCAUGCCAAUGGCACUGCCCGGUAGCUAAAUGCGGAAGAGAUAAGUGCUGAAAGCAUCUAAGCACGAAACUUGCCCCGAGAUGAGUUCUCCCUGAGACUGUAAGUCUCCUGAAGGAACGUUGAAGACGACGACGUUGAUAGGCCGGGUGUGUAAGCGCAGCGAUGCGUUGAGCUAACCGGUACUAAUGAACCGUGAGGCUUAACCUU